CACACCACCGAAAAUGGAGGCCCAAUGCCGAUUCAUGACCCUGAGAGCUCCAUCCUGAGGGGGCGGGCCCGGAACUUAUCAUUUACUCUGAUGCUUUCCUGAAAGCACUUGCAAAUCGCUAUGACACAAAACUUCAAGAGAUUCAUAAAAAAAAAGACUCAAGCACAGGUGUCUGAUAACUUUUAAAUCACACUGUUGAACCCAUUAAACUGGGGUUGUUCUUAGCCUUACAGCCCUGUGAAAGGGAGCUGGAUGACUUCAUAGAGACUUCAGAGAAAUUGCUACAACAGUUUAUACCUGGACAACCUUGGUGCCUGAGGCUGUGUUGGCCACACAGAAAGUUCACCAGAAACCUGAUGAUAUCACCAGAGACAUCCAAGCUGCAAGCCGGGAACACCCAUCGGAUUGAAACUGCCACACCAGAAGAAGAAAAAACAAAUGCUAUUUCUAUGUGAAUACAUCAGGAAUAGAUGCCCAAAUCUUGGAUCUUUAGAAAUAUAAAAGGCCAGGUCCAGGUGCUCCACCAGACGUGGGAAAUACCGUCAACUGAUCUAGUUAAAUCAAGAGAUUAAAUCUCGGCUCUUGGGGACCCUAGUUUCAGG
rnacentral:lncRNA from 1 species